rnacentral:lncRNA from 1 species
GUCCCCUAGCUAUGCCCCAUUCUGAUCCUCAGAGUCGAAAGAAACAGAGGAAGAGCUGCCUGUCUCGGGGUGCUUAGCACCCCCAAACCCAGCAGAGCCGCUACUGAGGCAUUUCAGGUGAGCUUCAGGAUGAAUUUGCGUGACUGAGCAUUUGGGGGCAUGGAGGCCAUAGAACGGUGUAUUUUUUACAGGUUGAAGGAAGCCCAGAGACCAUCUAGUGCUUUGGUCCUCUCAUUUUAUGGAUGGAGAGCCAGCCCGAGAGCCUGAGCGAUCGCACACGUCACAGGAAACAGCAGCAGCAGGGAUAAGGUCCCAACAGCCUCUGGGAAGAACUCAGACUUGGGGUUCUGGGCCAAUGGAAGCAGAUGAAAACCCCGACUCGGAGGUGAAGGCCAGCUCCACGAACUUGGAGGUCUUCAGAUUGAACAUCUGGGAAGAGGCGAUGACACAUCAGACCAGAGAAUAUGUCCAGCACCAGAACUGGAGCUGCUGCAGACAGACCAGCAAUCCCGACAGCCAUGUGGGGCUUGAGCCCCGCAGAGGCAAACACGAGCCCACCUGCACACAGCUGGAGUCAAACAUUCACAG